AAGGGCAGAGCUCAGUGGUAGAGCACGGGCUUAGCAUGCACGAGGUCCUGGGUUCAAUCCCCAGCACCUCUA
rnacentral:tRNA from 1 species